CACAAAAAAAUCUGUAAAAUAAAACAGAAAAAUUCUGUUAAUUUACAGUUUGUUUGUUUGACAUUGCAGUUUCUGAUUUGUCCCUCAGGGAUACUGUAGUAACUUUUAAGUGACAAGUUCCAGUUCUGUUUAGUGAUACAUUUUACUUUGGAUCCUCAUCGCACAUUUACCGAAAAAAACUUACAUGCUUUUACUGAAGUAAAAUCUUUAAGGCAGAAACGCUCCAUGUAAUUAAGUAUUUCAACAAUCUUGUACAACCACUUUUACCUAAGUGAAGGAUCUGAUUGCAUCUCCCACCAGUCAAGGAAGUCAACGCACAGCUUUUUGUAGAACAUUUGUGAUUCUGAUUUUGUCCCUUGUCUAAAAAAAGAUCCAAUCCUGAAUUAUGCUGUCUUGCUCAAAGAUGCUCAGUAUGCAUAGAAUUCAAAAUGUGAUUCCUUCCAUCUCCUCAAACUCUAGUUUAGCAAUUCAAAGCCAAGCCACAUCCUCUGCUUCGCUCUCUGCUGGUUUCACUGCUGUGAGCCUGUCUGCAUCUCAUUUACACUCACAUAUUUUCACACCAUCGCCGUAAACCCAGGGAUGUGUGGCUUGAAACUUUUGUAUGCGUGUGUCUGUGUGUGUGUGUGUGUGUCACUAUGAAAUCAUUAACCUAAAGUUAUGUGUGCAUUUGCUAAAGUUUAUGCCUUUCUUGUGUCUGCUAGAGUGUGUUUUUAUGCCUUGAUGUGUGUGUUUGUAUGUGUGUGUGUGAGCCCAUGCUUAGCCUGUUAAUUAAAUCUACAUUACACCCUGUUUAGCCUUUAGGGGUUUUUUUUCUCCCCCCACCGUUACUGGGUGACAUACUUUGGAUGCUGUUGGCCCAGGGCAUGGAAUUAAAUAAAGUGCUAAAAAAUAUUUAUUAGGGCAUUUACAGAUCCCAUGCUUGGUCAAGGCAUAGCAUGUUGUGCCAAAAAGGCUUAGAUUCAGGGCCGGAGGAAAAUCACGUAAAAUCAGCCGAGUAGUCACGUAAAGGCCGCCAAGCCCAUUUUCUUGCUUUAUAGCAUCAACAGAUCUGAACAGUAAAAUAGCAGGUUGGCUUUUUAAUUUGUUCUGACCGUUCGGAGUCCCCCCUUUCCUCCCCCCCAGCAUCCCCCCUGAAGAUUGUGAGGGAGGCCGAGCCAAGAGUCAUUUGGCCAAAAGCAUCCCAGCAGAAUUCCUCUGAGCCCUGAUGUCACUCAAACGUUAGAGGGAAGGAGGGAGGUUUCACGGUGAUUAGCCAGCGUCUGUUUUCCAGAAAAGCUCAGAAAAGCAGUUAACAGUCACAUGUGUCGCUCUGGAGAAGGUGGAGAACAAAAACAGAGCUACA
ensembl:lncRNA